rnacentral:rRNA from 1 species
UACGUAGGUGGCAAGCGUUAUCCGGAAUUAUUGGGGGUAAAGAGCGCGCAGGUGGUUAAUUAAGUCUGAUGUGAAAGCCCACGGCUUAACCGUGGAGGGUCAUUGGAAACUGGUUGACUUGAGUGCAGAAGAGGGAAGUGGAAUUCCAUGUGUAGCGGUGAAAUGCGUAGAGAUAUGGAGGAACACCAGUGGCGAAGGCGGCUUCCUGGUCUGCAACUGACACUGAGGCGCGAAAGCGUGGGGAGCAAACAGG